ensembl:snoRNA small nucleolar RNA SNORA69
AAAGCAGGUCUGCAAUUGCAGCACUUGUUUUCAGUCAAGUGCUGUCAUUAAACCUGCUGAGAAGAUAUUGCUGCUGCAAGAGUAUUUUCUAUCUUGACUCCUAUAGUGAUGAUGAAGCUCUUGCAGCUGAACAUU